AUCUUUAAAAGCUCAAGCUGAUGGUUGGGUGUUCAUGCUGUUAUGUAACAUGCACCUCCCUCAAAUCUUGUUAAGACCUCGGCACUUUACUCAUAUGAUG
ensembl:snoRNA